rnacentral:tRNA from 1 species
ACCUGGCUGGCUCAGUCAGUAAAGCACAAGACUCUUGAUCUCGGGGUCGUGAGUUCAAGCCCCAUGCUGGGUG